rnacentral:rRNA from 1 species
UACGUAGGGGGCAAGCGUUAUCCGGAUUUACUGGGUGUAAAGGGAGCGUAGACGGCAGCGCAAGUCUGGAGUGAAAUCCCAUGGCUUAACCAUGGAACUGCUUUGGAAACUGUGCAGCUGGAGUGCAGGAGAGGUAAGCGGAAUUCCUAGUGUAGCGGUGAAAUGCGUAGAUAUUAGGAGGAACACCAGUGGCGAAGGCAGCUCACUGGACUGCAACUGACACUGAGGCUCGAAAGUGUGGGUAUCAAACAGG